AGAAUUCUGAGGUCAUUCCUCAGUGUUCUAGCUGGAGGCUUCUAAAGCAUUAUGAGCUGUGUGGUCAAGUUCAAUACUAAGAACAUGGCCUUAGAAUGUAAAAAUGAAUGGCCACUUCCAGGUAUGGCUGAGAAGGGUGAAAAUGCAUGCACCCACAGACACACACACACACCGUGGAAAUGAGGAAAAGUUACUUCUCUCUGUUGUAAAUUUAAAUGCAGUCCAGAGUAGUGAAGGCCGUUUGUAAGGUCUGCUGAGCUAAUGGAUUCAUAAUGACUUUUAAAGCUUCACUCGGUACAUCCUAUGUGCCAGACACUGCGAUAGGUUCUGGAGAUAACAACAGUGUCCAAGAAACAACAGUGUCCAAGAAACAGGACUUUCCCUCAAAGAGCUUACUGGGGAAGCCAGCAAGACCAGCAGACAAAC
rnacentral:lncRNA from 1 species